GCUCUGGUAUAAAACCCACAGCUUACGGGUGCAGCUUACACUGACGACGAUAACAGGAAUUCAGCACCGUCUUCAAGUGACAACGCCAUUGGAGUUGCAGUAUCAACUAUCAAAUAUCAGUAUGAACCUGCACGUAUUUGCUGUCGUAUUGGCUUUGGCCCUGUUAACAAUUCUUUCUGAAGGUGAGAAUUAUAUGGUAGCUGCUGCGGGAAAUUCGACUACUUCUAAAAAUAGUGUGGGAUGCAUACGUAUGAGCGCUGAAGUCCUGGCUAUUCUCUUUGCUGUCGGAUAUAUGUUAGUAAAGAUCCGGAACUAACAGGACUAUCGAUGUUGUGUUCCCGUGUAGGUCAUCAGUGUGGAGGUAAUGACAAGACAACUCUGAAGGAACGCACUGAUGUAUCUGAAACACAGACUAGUAGACUUUUUACUUGGUUUGAUUCUGCAUUCUAGUGACAGAGGUUGAACAUCAA